rnacentral:rRNA from 1 species
CCUGGCUCAGAUUGAACGCUGGCGGCAUGCCUAACACAUGCAAGUCGAACGGCAGCAUUCAUUAGUUUACUAAUGAGAUGGCGAGUGGCGAACGGGUGAGUAACGCGUAGGAAUAUGCCUUGAAGAGGGGGAUAACUUGGGGAAACUCAAGCUAAUACCGCAUAAGCUCUUAGGAGGAAAGCUGGGGACCUUCGGGCCUGGCGCUUUAAGAUUAGCCU